rnacentral:rRNA from 1 species
AUUGAACGCUGGCGGCAGGCCUAACACAUGCAAGUCGAACGAGUGGCGGACGGGUGAGCAAUGUCUGGGAAACUGCCUGAUGGAGGGGGAUAACUACUGGAAACGGUAGCUAAUACCGCAUACCAUCGGAUGUGCCCACAUUGGAUUAGAUAGUAGGGGGGGUAAAGGCUCACCUCGGAGACGAUCCCUAGCUGGUCUGUGAUGAUGACCGGCCAAAAUGGAAUUGAGACACGGUCCAAACGCCUACGGGAGGCAGCAGUGGGGAAUAUUGCACAAUGGGCGCAAGCCUGAUGCAGCCAUGCCGCGUGGAUGAAGAAGGCCUUCGGGUUGUAAAGUACUUUUAGCGAGGAGGCGUUACCCACAGAAGAAGCACCGGCUAACUCCGUGCCAGCAGCCGCGGUAAUUC